AACAAAACAAUAAGAAGACAGAGAAUUACAGUUAAUAGAAUAAUUAU
rnacentral:guide_RNA from 1 species